rnacentral:lncRNA from 1 species
AUUAAUUUGGAACCUAUACUGUAGAGGCACAAAAUCCAUUCAGUACCUCUUUUAUCUUUUUAUUAUAUAUUCUCAGUAAAUUUCAGAUCUGCAGUUGGAUCAAAUUGUGGUACAGAGUCAAAGAUUCAGGUCCAAACUCUAGGUCCAGGUCUAGUUCCAGGCUUAAUAUCCAAGUGCAAGGUAUGGACCCAAAUUUCAGGUUUUAGGUCAUGCCCAAGAAACUUAAAAUCCCAGGUCCAAGUUUUACAGCCAACAUCCAUAUCCAAAAUUAAAUCCAGUUUCAAGUCUAAGGUCCAGAUCUGACUGCCUGAUCCCAAGGUAAGCAGCAGUUACAAGGUUUACCUCCAAGAUCCUAGAAAUAGGUCCAAAAUCCAGGUAUUGGUUCAGUUCCAAAGUACAGGUUGAAACAAUUAUAAAUUUGUGUUUAACAUCUAGGGAAAGUUCAGGAUUCAGGUCCACAGUAUGGAUCAAGGAUCAAGUUCUAAGUACAAGUUCCAGGUCCAAGGUUAUGUCCAGGUCUAUGUACAAGAUCCAAGAAAAUCUUUAGACAUCCAGAUCCGAGUCCCAAGUCUAUAACAAUGACCAAAUUAAAAGUCAGGCCCAAGGUCCUAGACAUAUCCAGGCCCAAGGUUGAGGGCCUAUGCCCAGGUUCAAAGUCAAAGUCAUGGUCCACAGUCCAGAUUGAAGUCUGAGCCCCAGAUCCUUGUCUAAGGUCCAAUUCUAAGUUUCAUUGUCCAAGUCUUCAUCUAUGUAUGAGGUCCAGGUUCAGGUCUAAGGAAUGAUGUUUAUGUGCGCAUUCCAGUUCUAGCUCUCUGAGGCCUAUUUAGAAACAUCUCCAGGUAUGAGGUCAAGAAAUGAGGUCUGAAUUUUAUUUUCAAAUUCUGGGUGCAAAGUCAAAAAUCCAGUCCAAGACUUCAUACCUAGACUUCAGGUAUGAAGCCCAGGUCCAAGAUCCUCAUCCAUAGUCAUGUUCAGAGGCAGGUUAGAAGUCCAGAUUUGAAGUUUAAAUUGAAGUUUAGAAGUCUAGUUCCAAUGUCCUCUUCCAAUUUCUUGGGCCAGAUCCAGAUCUAAGGUUCUGAUCUAGACCAAAAUACAGGUCCAAAAUCAAUACUGUAGGUCAGAUUUAGGUCCAAGUCUAGAACAGAGAUCAUGAUUCGAGUUCAAGAUUAAAGGUCUAGGUCCGGAUUUAAGAUUUGCCUGAGUUCCAGGUCUGAGGUCCACAUAUGAGUUUAGAGAUCCAGUUCCAAGGCAUAGGUCCAAUGUCCAACAUCCAAAGUCUGGGUCAAAUUUAUGUCAGAAGACCAGGUUCAAAAUCCAGGACCAGGUCAAGGUUGAGGUCUAAAGUCCUGGUCCAAGUUUGAAGUCCAUAAUCUUAGUUGAGAAUCAAGGUCCAGAUCCUAGUACCAGGACCAAGAUUAUGUUCUAAACUAGAUUUGAGGCCUAAGAUAAAGGUUAGAUGUCAAGGUCCAAGAUUCAGGUCCAAAGUCUAGUUCCAUGACCAAGGAUACUGACUAAAGUCAGUGCCAAGUUCCUCAGCAACCAGGUCCAAGGUUGAAGUGCUAUGUUCCAAGGUCCAAAUUCCAGGUCCAAGAUCCAAAACCAUGAUCUACAUUCAAGGUCUAGGUCAAAUCUCAGCUCUAUAUCCAGUACAAAGGUCAAAAGCCCAGUUCAAAGGUCCAAAUCUAUGUCAAGGUAUAAGGCAAAAGGCCAGGUCCAGUACUUAGGUCCAAGGUCCAGAUUCCAAAUCCUGGUGUUGGUCUAGUUCCUGGUCCAAUGACCAAGACCAAGAUCCAGAUCUAGAACCAAUAUCAAGUUCUAAGUCAUUUCCAUGUCUAGUGUCCAGGCAUAAUGUCAAGUCCUGGAUAACAUAAAAUCUAGAUCCAAAUUUCAGACCAAAGUUUCUGUCUGAGUUCAAGCCCCAAAUCAAAGAUCUAGGCCCAGUACCAAAAUUCAAGGUCCAAAUAGAAGGUCCAGAUAGACAUCCAAGUUCCAAGUCUUAGGUCAAGUCCAGGAUCCUGAGCAAAUGUCUAGGUGCAGGCUCAGAUUCUGGUCCACUUCUAAGGAAGGUCAUAGAAAAUCCAUGUCUCCAUAUCCUACCUUCAGAGUCAAUGUCCAGGACCAGGUCAAGAUUCA